rnacentral:lncRNA from 1 species
UCGCCGGCCUCACCUACACCUAGCAAUCUAACUUGCUCGUGAUAUUACAUUUUCUUCAUCGAUCUAGACUAGAAGAAGCAUGAAGGCGUACGUGAAUGUGAUGAUGACCGUCGUCUUGCUCAUCGGAUGCCUGGCGGUGACCGGCGAGUGUAAGCACCGUCGCCUUGCUCGGUUGCUCCUCCUUAGACCAUAAUUUUUCGGCUCACAGUCUAAUUACUUAGCGAGGUUGCAUGCAGUGGGUCGCGCGGAGGCCGGGAGAAUCUCUCCAGAUGCGCGGCGAGCCGACGGCGAGGCGAGCAAGCUUUCGCUGAAGUUCUGCGUCCAUCGGGACUGCCACACCAAGGCUGAACCUAUCAUGACCGCCUGUUUCUGCUGCGUGGGCUUGCCGGACAUACCAUGCUAUUCUGAGCGGGAUGAGUGCAAGGAGGAGUGCCCCAACACCAACAAGACACCCGCACGGCCAGCCUCCGCCGUCGGCGACGUACGGAAGUACCAACGUCUAUGAACAGAUGGACGGCAAAUGAUGCAGCGAGGUGUAAGCAAGAGCUGAUGGUCGUA